rnacentral:rRNA from 1 species
GCAUGCAAGUCAAACGGGAUGUAGCAAUACAUUCAGUGGCGAACGGGUGAGUAACGCGUGGAUGAUCUACCUAUGAGAUGGGGAUAACUAUUAGAAAUAGUAGCUAAUACCGAAUAAGGUCAAUUAAUUUGUUAAUUGAUGAAAGGAAGCCUUUAAAGCUUCGCUUGUAGAUGAGUCUGCGUCUUAUUAGCUAGUUGGUGGGGUAAAUGCCUACCAAGGCGAUGAUAAGUAACCGGCCUGAGAGGGUGAACGGUCACACUGGAACUGAGAUACGGUCCAGACUCCUACGGGAGGCAGCAGCUAAGAAUCUUCCGCAAUGGGCGAAAGCUUGACGGAGCGACACUGCGUGAAUGAAGAAGGUCGAAAGAUUGUAAAAUUCUUUUAUAAAUGAGGAAUAAGCUUUGUAGGAAAUGACAAAGUGAUGACGUUAAUUUAUGAAUAAGCCCCGGCUAAUUACGUGCCAGCAGCCGCGGUAAUACGUAAGGGGCGAGCGUUGUUCGGGAUUAUUGGGCGUAAAGGGUGAGUAGGCGGAUAUAUAAGUCUAUGCAUAAAAUACCACAGCUCAACUGUGGACCUAUGUUGGAAACUAUAUGUCUAGAGUCUGAUAGAGGAAGUUAGAAUUUCUGGUGUAA